GACCCGUUAGCUCAGCCGGUAGAGCACAUCACUUUUAAUGAUGGGGCCAAGAGUUCAAAUCUCUUACGGGUCACCA
rnacentral:tRNA from 1 species